AUUGAACGCUGGCGGCAUGCCUAACACAUGCAAGUCGAACGGCAACAUGGUCUGUAGCAAUACAGAUUGAUGGCGAGUGGCGGACGGGUGAGAAACGCGUAGGAAUCUGCCCUUGAGAGUGGGAUAACCCGAGGAAACUCGGGCUAAUACCGCAUAAACUCGAAAGAGAAAAGGCUGGGUGGAAACACCUGGAGCUUGAGGAGGAGCCUGCGUCCGAUUAGCUAGUUGGUUAGGUAAAGCUGACCAAGGCGAUGAUCGGUAGCUGGUCUGAGAGGAUGAUCAGCCACACUGGGACUGAGACACGGCCCAGACUCCUACGGGAGGCAG
rnacentral:rRNA from 1 species